UCUUUAUAUAAGAAAAGAGGCAUUAAUCAACCUGUAAUUAUUCUUUCAGAAACCGCAGGGAAAGAAAUAUGAUAUGGAUUUUAGUUGUAAUAAAACAGAACAAUUUUGGCUGUAUUCUUCGAAGGGGAAAUUAACUAUAUAUUAGUUUUUCUUUCAAACAAUUCCCUCUUUCAUUUCGAUUCUUGUUCAAUCGAACAGGAAAUAAAGAGUUCCCUGUAGAAAUACAACCUGAGACAUGCAAAAAGUGCUCAAAAAACAGCAGCAACCCUCAGGCAAUACAAAGCAAAAGCAGGGGAUUCAAUCAACAACAAUUAUUUGAGAGAAAGAGCACCUUUACAUUGAAGUAUAGACACAGUUAAGAAUGCACAUGAAGGAAAUAUAUAAUACGAAAAUCACUCUGGGAGAAGAAGAGCUUCAUUGACUGUGUCUUCUCUGAGAAAGACGUGUAGGAAAUAUUAUUAAAUAAUACUUUUGAAAGCUACGCAAUAUUCCUCGCAAUUGCUUCCAGAGCAGACCGUACCUCCCAAGCCAAUGGAAUUACAAUCUUCUGUACAAUCCCAUUGUCCUACAUCAUUAUAAUUAUGACCAAACGAUGUGAAAUAAGCGUUGAGCAAAUUGACUCUUAAGCU